rnacentral:rRNA from 1 species
UACAGAGGUCUCAAGCGUUGUUCGGAUUCAUUGGGCGUAAAGGGCGCGUAGGCUGCGGGGCAAGUCGGGUGUGAAAUCUCAGAGCUCAACUCUGAAACUGCACUCGAUACUGCUUUGCUUGAGGACUGGAGAGGAGAUUGGAAUUCACGGUGUAGCAGUGAAAAUGCGUAGAUAUCGUGAGGAAGACCAGUGGCGAAGGCGG